rnacentral:rRNA from 1 species
CCUACGGGUGGCAGCAGUGGGGAAUAUUGCACAAUGGGGGAAACGCUGAUGCAGCGACGCCGCGUGAGUGAAGGAGUCUUUCGGGAGGUAAAGCUCUAUCAGCAGGGAGGAUAAUGACGGUACCUGACUAAGAAGCGCCGGCUAAAUACAUACCAGCAGCCGCGGUAAGACGUAGGGGGCACGCGUUAGCCGGAUUUGCUGGGUGUAACGGGUGCGUAGUUGGAAGGGAAAUGCAGAUGUAAAAGCCCCGGGCCAACCGCGGGUAGUGCCAUUGAAACUGUCCAGCUGGAGUGCGGGAGAGGGAAGAGGAAUGUCUGGUGUAGCGGUGAAAUGCGUAGAUAUUAGGAAGAACACCAGUUGCGAAGGCGGCUUACGGGACCGUAACUGACACUGAGGCACGAAAGCGUGGGGAGCAAACAGGAUUAGAUACCCUUGUAGUC